rnacentral:rRNA from 1 species
CCUGCUUCCAGGAAAAGCCUCUAAGCAUCAGGUAACAUCAAAUCGUACCCCAAACCGACACAGGUGGUCAGGUAGAGAAUACCAAGGCGCUUGAGAGAACUCGGGUGAAGGAACUAGGCAAAAUGGUGCCGUAACUUCGGGAGAAGGCACGCUGAUAUGUAGGUGAAGUCCCUCGCGGAUGGAGCUGAAAUCAGUCGAAGAUACCAGCUGGCUGCAACUGUUUAUUAAAAACACAGCACUGUGCAAACACGAAAGUGGACGUAUACGGUGUGACGCCUGCCCGGUGCCGGAAGGUUAAUUGAUGGGGUUAGCGCAAGCGAAGCUCUUGAUCGAAGCCCCGGUAAAC